GACGAACGCUGGCGGCGUGCUUAACACAUGCAAGUCGAACGGAAAGGCCCUGCUUUUGUGGGGUGCUCGAGUGGCGCACGCGUGAGUAACACGUGUGUAACCUGCCCUUGACUUUGGGAUAACUUCAGGAAACUGGGGCUAAUACCGGAUAUGAUCUCCUGCUGCAUGGUGGGGGUUGGAAAGUUUCGGCGGUUGGGGCUGGACUCGCGGCUUAUCAGCUUGUUGGUGGGGUAGUGGCUUACCAAGGCUUUGACGGGUAGCCUGCCUGAGAGGGUGACCGGCCACAUUGGGACUGAGGUAGGGCGCAGACUCCUACGGGAGGCAGCAGUGGGGAAUAUUGCACAGUGGGCGGAAGCCUGAUGCAGCAACGCCGCGUGCGGGAUGAUGGCCUUCGGGUUAUAAACCGCUUUCGCCUGUGACGAGGCGUGAGUGACGGUAAUUGGUAAAGAAGCACCGGCUAACUACGUG
rnacentral:rRNA from 1 species